rnacentral:rRNA from 1 species
CCCUACUGCUAUCGGGGUGGGACUAAGACAUGCUAGUCGAGCGCCUUGAGCUAUGGCGAGGCGCGGCGUACAGCUCAGUAACACGUGGCUAACCUACCCUUAGGACGGAGACAACCCCGGGAAACUGGGGCUAAUAUCUGAUAGGUGAGGAGGCCUGGAAUGGUUCUUCGCUGAAAAGGCGUUGAAACCAUGCUUUUCAGCGUCGCCUAAGGAUGGGGCCGCGCCCGAUCAGGUUGUUGGUGGGGUAACGGCUCACCAAGCCUAUAACCGGUACGGGCCGUGAGAGCGGGAGCCCGGAGAUGGGCACUGAGACAAGGGCCCAGGCCCUACGGGGCGCAGCAGUCGCGAAAACUCCGCAAUGCGCGAAAGCGUGACGGGGCUACCCCGAGUGCCGUCCGCUGAGGAUGGCUUUUCCCCGGUGUAAUGAGCCGGGGGAAUAAGGAGAGGGCAAGUCUGGUGUCAGCCGCCGCGGUAAUACCAGCUCUCCGAGUGGUAGGGACGAUUAUUGGGCUUAAAGCGUCCGUAGCCGGCUUAGCAAGUCUUCUGUUAAAUUCAGCGACCUAAUCGUUGAGCCGCGGGAGAUACUACUAGGCUAGGAGGCGGGAGAGGCCGACGGUAUUCUCGGGGUAGGGGUGAAAUCCUAUAAUCCCGGGAGGACCACCAGUGGCGAAGGCUGUCGGCUAGAACGCGCUCGACGGUGAGGGACGAAAGCUGGGGGAGCGAACCGGAUUAGAUACCCGGGUAGUCCCAGCUGUAAACGAUGCGGGCUAGGUGUUGGGGUGGCUACGAGCCACUUCAGUGCCGCAGGGAAGCCAUUAAGCCCGCCGCCUGGGGAGUACGGCCGCAAGGCUGAAACUUAAAGGAAUUGGCGGGGGAGCACCACAAGGCGUGAAGCUUGCGGUUC